rnacentral:piRNA from 1 species
GCACUUGGCCUAUGUACUGAUUUGUGGGA